CAUGGCUCAGGACGAACGCUGGCGGCGUGCUUAACACAUGCAAGUCGAACGGUGAAGGGGCCUGCUUUUGUGGGUCCUGGAUGAGUGGCGAACGGGUGAGUAACACGUGAGUAACCUGCCCCCUUCUUCUGGAUAACCGCAUGAAAGUGUGGCUAAUACGGGAUAUUCUGGGUCUGUCGCAUGGUGGGCCUGGGAAAGAUUGCGCCUUUUUUGGUGUUUUUGGUGGGGGAUGGGCUCGCGGCCUAUCAGCUUGUUGGUGGGGUGAUGGCCUACCAAGGCGGUGACGGGUAGCCGGCCUGAGAGGGUGGACGGUCACACUGGGACUGAGACACGGCCCAGACUCCUACGG
rnacentral:rRNA from 1 species